UACAGAGGGUGCAAGCGUUGUUCGUAAUUAUUGGGCGUAAAGCGCGUGUAGGCGGCUUUGCAAGUCGGGUGUGAAAGCCCUCAGCUUAACUGAGGAAGUGCGCCCGAAACUGCAGAGCUUGAAUACCGGAGAGGAUGGCGGAAUUCCCCAAGUAGAGGUGAAAUUCGUAGAUAUCUGGAGGAACACCAGUGGCGAAGGCGGGUCUCUGGACAGUUCCUGACACUGAGGCACGAAGGCCAGGGGAGCAAACGGG
rnacentral:rRNA from 1 species